rnacentral:rRNA from 1 species
UACGGAGGGUGCAAGCGUUAUUCGGAAUGACUGGGCGUAAAGCGCACGUAGGCGGUUUGCUAAGUCUGAUGUGAAAUCCCUGGACUCAAUCCAGGAAGUGCAUUGGAUACUGGCAGACUAGAGGACAGGAGAGGAGAGCGGAAUUCCAGGUGUAGAGGUGAAAUUCGUAGAUAUUGGGAGGAACACCAGUGGCGAAGGCGGCUCACUGGACUGGUACUGACGCUGAGGCGCGAAAGCGUGGGGAGCAA